rnacentral:misc_RNA from 1 species
UUAAGUUCAGCGGGUAGCCCUACCUGAUUUCAGAUCAAAGUUUGAAAUGAGUUUUCUGUAUUAUCAAGACUGACUUCCAGAAGCAAAUGUAGCCAAAGAUUUGACAAAAGUCAAAACUAUUAGGCCAAACUGCUGUAGUAGGAAACAGCCAAGAGCUACAUUUUAGGAGUGCCGACUAAUAAAAAUCGGCGCAUCCCAAU